AAGUUCACAUAGAAAAGAUGAAAAGCAAGCUCUCCUAUUUCUUUAUUUUUUAUUUUUUUUGGUUUAUGAAUUUUAUGUGUGGAUGGUAAUGAGAAAUGCAACGAUUGAUCUCACCUGAAUUGCUUAAAAUUUAUACCCUGUAAUUAGGGUUUCCUCAUGUAUAUUAAUCCCCGUUUUUCCCUUGGAUAUUUUAUUUUAAAUCUUAUUUAUUUAACAUUAUUAUUCUUAUUAAAAACGAAUGAAAGUUAAUUAUAACGAAUAAAAA
rnacentral:lncRNA from 1 species